rnacentral:ncRNA from 1 species
UCCCGAUUUCUGAAUGAAUCCUCCCUGGAAGCUGAAUGUAAAGGUGGGCAUAUCUGGAGCACCUACAGCAGAGAAAUUUGAUCACCUAACUUUACAAGAUAUACAUGUACUGGCUUAUUGAUGAUACAUCAAUAUCGGUGAGUCGGGAAACGGGCGUUCCGACGGUUCGUCUGAUUUCUGGUGCUAAGCGGCCACCCUCACGGGGGGUCGCUACCCGCUCCGAAGACAGCGUCAGGGUGGGAGUUUGACUGGGGCGGUACAUCUGUCAAAUGGUAACGCAGGUGUCCUAAGGCGAGCUCAGCGAGGACGGAAACCUCGCGUAGAGCAAAAGGGCAAAAAUUAUGCACAUUCAGCUUGAAAUUUAGUGUUAAAUCAUUUAGACCUAGAAAGUUGUGCAUGUUAAGAGGUG